AUGAACGCUGGCGGCGUGCCUAAUACAUGCAAGUCGAGCGAACGGACGAGAAGCUUGCUUCUCUGAUGUUAGCGGCGGACGGGUGAGUAACACGUGGAUAACCUACCUAUAAGACUGGGAUAACUUCGGGAAACCGUAGCUAAUACCGGAUAAUAUUUUGAACCGCAUGGUUCAAAAGUGAAAGACGGUCUUGCUGUCACUUAUAGAUGGAUCCGCGCUGCAUUAGCUAGUUGGUAAGGUAACGGCAUACCAAGGCAACGAUGCAUAGCCGACCUGAGAGGGUGAUCGGCCACACUGGAACUGAGACACGGUCCAGACUCCUACGGGAGGCAGCAGUAGGGAAUCUUCCGCAAUGGGCGAAAGCCUGACGGAGCAACGCCGCGUGAGUGAUGAAGGUCUUCGGAUCGUAAAACUCUGUUAUUAGGGAAGAACAUAUGUGUAAGUAACUGUGCACAUCUUGACGGUACCUAAUCAGAAAGCCACGGCUAACUACAUG
rnacentral:rRNA from 1 species